rnacentral:rRNA from 1 species
CGCUGGCGGCGUGCCUAAUACAUGCAAGUAGAACGCUGAGGAUUGGUGCUUGCACUAAUCCAAAGAGUUGCGAACGGGUGAGUAACGCGUAGGUAACCUACCUCAUAGCGGGGGAUAACUAUUGGAAACGAUAGCUAAUACCGCAUGAYACUAGAGUACACAUGUACUUAAGUUAAAAGGAGCAAAUGCUUCACUAUGAGAUGGACCUGCGUUGUAUUAGCUAGUUGGUGAGGUAACGGCUCACCAAGGCGACGAUACAUAGCCGACCUGAGAGGGUGAUCGGCCACACUGGGACUGAGACACGGCCCAGACUCCUACGGGAGGCAGCAGUAGGGAAUCUUCGGCAAUGGACGGAAGUCUGACCGAGCAACGCCGCGUGAGUGAAGAAGGUUUUCGGAUCGUAAAGCUCUGUUGUUAGAGAAGAACGGUAAUGGGAGUGGAAAAUCCAUUACGUGACGGUAACUAACCAGAAAGG